rnacentral:rRNA from 1 species
UACGUAGGUGGCAAGCGUUGUCCGGAUUUACUGGGCGUAAAGAGCGCGCAGGCGGUCGAUCAAGUCGCGUGUGAAAGCCCCCGGCUCAACUGGGGAGGGUCACGCGAUACUGAUCGACUCGAAGGCAGGAGAGGGUAGUGGAAUUCCCGGUGUAGUGGUGAAAUGCGUAGAUAUCGGGAGGAACACCAGUGGCGAAGGCGACUACCUGCCUGUUCUUGACGCUGAGGCGCGAAAGCUAGGGAGCAACGGG